AUUUCUAAAGGCAGUGUGGGACCCUACCAAGUUCAGGAUGCUUUGACAUCUUACUUGUCCUAAGCUUUGGAAAAGGACUUCGUUAUGCAGACAUUCGCAGCCAAGACAUUGAAUGAAUAUAUUCUAUCCAAUGGUGAUGAGGUCACUACCUAUCCUCCCACUCUGAGCUAGCCAGCUGUCCUUUCAGGCUUCCAUGCAAGCAAUUAGUAACAGAAAGCAGAAACGCUGAUCUUGGAGAUGAUGGUGUG